CAGCCGCCGCGGUAAUACGUAGGGCGCAAGCGUUGUCCGGAAUUAUUGGGCGUAAAGAGCUCGUAGGCGGUCUGUCGCGUCUGGUGUGAAAUCCCGAGGCUCAACCUCGGGCUUGCAUCGGGUACGGGCAGACUAGAGUGCGGUAGGGGAGACUGGAAUUCCUGGUGUAGCGGUGGAAUGCGCAGAUAUCAGGAGGAACACCGAUGGCGAAGGCAGGUCUCUGGGCCGCAACUGACGCUGAGGUACGAAAGCAUGGGGAGCAAACAGGAUUAGAUACCCCCGUAGUCCCUGUCUCUUAUAC
rnacentral:rRNA from 1 species